GCAGACGGUUGUAUUAAAACGUAAUGCCUCAAUGUUUCUCAGUUCUGAAAAAUCAGUGAGGUGUAUGAGAAAUAUCAGCCUCUUUCUGGUGUAUGUUUGUGUUUCAGGUGUCUGGGUGCGUCUCUGGCCUUGUGCCCAGAGUACAGCUUGGUUCUGGAGGAUGAACUGGGUGUAACUGUGGGUAUUCUGGAUGUUUGCUCUUUUGCCAAACGAUGUCAGGCCACCUGGCGACCUGCUAUGAAGGACAAAUAUCCUUCACGCCUUCAUGAAACAAGUGGUCAUAGCGCAACAAAGGAGGCGCUGCUAUAUUUCCAUGAAGAACAGGACUAUCCAGACUACCUGCUGUAUCAUUUCUCAUCUCAGCUCAGGCUAGAGGGUCUUCCUGAACUGGUGGACUGUAGUGUCAGUCGUAGCCUCCUCACAGCUCUGCUAAUGUCCCUCAAAGCUAAAGGUUCACAAAUAAAAUGGAUCACAAAUAGAAUUUCUGACAAAGCUGGGAUUUCUGGAGAUCCUCCGUGGAGAAGCAUGGCCUAGAGAGGGUGUAGUUUUGGGGAGGCUGUUAUAAGCAAACAGCCAAAAUACACAGGAUCCAGUGAAAAAAAUAAUAAUCAGAUUUUAGAUGAACAUGUUGCCAUGUUUGAGGCCAGAGCUGGGGUUAUAGUUGUUCUUAGAAAAAUGGCUGGAUUUAGAAAGUGCUUUGGUGCAGUUGUUAAGGUCUAUUCACAAAAAUAACAUAUAAAACGAAGUGCAUUUUGCAUGCCAAAAUCAAAUCCAAGUACAGAUUAAAAAAAUACUGUACUAUGAUGAUCUGCAAUUUUUGAAGGUCUUUUUAAGCAUUUUCAUUUUGGAGAAUAACAAAAGAUUGGCUUUGGACUGAUUUGUUUUAGUGUUAAAAUAUUUUGUUUGUAAAUAUUUUAUUUAUAAUAGCACAAGCCACAGUAAAAAAAUGUACAAACACAUAUUACAAAACAAACAAUGAUGUUGGACAAUAGGAUAGGGCUUCAGUGAAAUGUAGGUGUACUGUUUACUCUGAGUAGUUGUGGGACUAUCAGAGAUUGUCUGUAGGGACUUAAACUGGUCUUUUGGCUUCAAGGUCAAAGCUGAGGUUGUGACAAAACGUUAGGAACAAAAUGAGAACUUGAUAGUGCUCACUUGUUUACAGCAUUAUCUUCAUUAAUCAGCAUUCAGUUUGCUUUCUUACUGCACCAUGCAUUUGGAGCUUUUAUUGGUUCAUAUAAACCUUUGGCUCUGCUUUUGGGGAUAAAAAAAAAUUGC
ensembl:lncRNA